rnacentral:rRNA from 1 species
CCUACGGGAGGCAGCAGUGGGGAAUAUUGGACAAUGGGCGAAAGCCUGAUCCAGCCAUGCCGCGUGUGUGAAGAAGGCCUUCGGGUUGUAAAGCACUUUAAGCGAGGAGGAAGGUUCGUUACUUAAUACGUAACGGAAUUGACGUUACUCGCAGAAUAAGCACCGGCUAACUCUGUGCCAGCAGCCGCGGUAAUACAGAGGGUGCAAGCGUUAAUCGGAAUUACUGGGCGUAAAGCGCGCGUAGGCGGUUGUGUAAGUUGGAGGUGAAAUCCCCGGGCUCAACCUGGGCAUUGCCUUCAAAACUGCACGGCUAGAGUAUGGGAGAGGAAGGUAGAAUUCCAGGUGUAGCGGUGAAAUGCGUAGAGAUCUGGAGGAAUACCGAUGGCGAAGGCAGCCUUCUGGCCUAAUACUGACGCUGAGGUGCGAAAGCAUGGGGAGCAAACAGGAUUAGAUACCCU